GUGCCUGUGGGAUGAACAGGUUUCUAACGUUUACUACCAUCUCUUUCACUUUUUCAGCUGAUAAACACACGUUCAGCUGAUCAUUUAGGAUGUGAAAUGU